rnacentral:lncRNA from 1 species
CCUUUUUCUCUCUUCUCUAGGGCCACGCCUCUCUCUCUCUACUCUCUUAUUUUCUCUCUCUUUCUCUUUCUUUCCUGAUCUAAUCUAAAGGUUGGGAAAAUUAGGGUUCGAGCCUAAUUAUUUUGGAGUUAGGGUUUUGUAGAGAUUUAAGGGAGGUUACCUAGUUUGGAUUAAAUUAGCUUUCUCGAGAUUGAAGUUAGACUGCUGAUCCGGUGCCAUUGAAU